GAAUGCGUAUCCGUAUUCUUUUUGCUCUCGUUCGCAAACGUCAGUCAAAAGUUGCGAAUCGCUGUACGAAUCGCCGGCGCCGGUAGUUUUUUCUUGUUUUUCUGCCGUUUGGUGUUAGUUUUUUGAAAAAAAAAAUUAAUAAACCGAAUAGUUUUUAUUGAUUUGUGAAGUGUAAGUAAAUUCUAAAGAACAUUUGUGAAAAUCCAUUCUCAAAAACCUCCAGUUGAUACAAAUCGCCGUCGCCGAGGAAUGUUUUGGUUGUUUCGCGUGAAAAAAAAAGCCGCUAGAAACUGAUUGAGGUUUGCCGUUAGUUCUGGGAGAAUGGUGAUAGAAAAAAGGAAUAAGUCGCUACCAUCAAGGUACUACAAAAAUCUGCCGAAUAUUUGGAUCGUCUUCCCGGCAACAGCAAAGCGUCAACCAGCAAGCAGAUUUGAUUGGCGCAGAUAGUUGACUGGGUAACAUGAUACAGGAUUAUUAAUUUAUCAUUGCUCUUGGAUGCCGAUUUGUGUACUAGAAAUAAUCGAUCAGGAGCUACUGGCUACUGGAGAUACAGGAGAUAACUUUGCUGGGUAAAUUAGGCAGUUUCCAACGCUUUUGAAAUUACCAGCAAAUAAGAAGACCAAGAAUACAACAAAGCAACCAAUUUCUUCGGAUGCCUCAAAUUUUCACAAUUGGGUCAAUGAACCACUACAAGCUACAAAGGACAGUUUUGAGAGCUGGUUCCGUUUGGUGUUGACCAAAAAUACAAAUGACGGAUAAUUUUAUUUUAUUUUAUUUAAUAAUGUUUAUUAAUAUUAAGAUUAAGAUUUAAUAAUAAUUUUUUUUUAAAUAUUUUCAUGAUCGAUUAUUAUAUAUAUCUAGUUACGGUUCUGGCGUGAAGCACUUCGGUUUAUCUCCCAAGAGUGUUGGUCAUCCAAAGGGCUUCAAUUGUGGUCAAAAUUGCAGACAUGGAUUUUCGAUGAAAAUAACCAAACCGCCGUAUUUUUUCAUUAAGUCGUCAGAGUGACCAGCUCCGAAAUAGGGUGAUCCUAAUAAAAACAGCUUUAUUCAUUGUAUUUUAUUCUAAAAACAACAUAAUUUUUGAACCAGGUGAUUGAUUUUUUAUCUUUUUGGAUCAAAUCAACGUAUAUUUUUCUCGUUUCAAGAAAUAAUACGAAAAAAAGAAAUCGGUGUGCUUUCACUGUUUAGAAUUAAAGCAGCUAAAACAUCGUAAAACAACUUCUAUCCAUAAAAAAGUUAGAUAUUUGAUUUAAUCGAAAAUUUGGGUCACCCCAAUUUUUAAUCAUUUUUCAAUAAGCGCUUUAUCAUAAGUAACAACUUUGUUGAAGAAAGUUUUUCUCUAAAACUUUGCUAUCGAGCUCUAUAUCUAAAAUUCCCUAUAAAUUUCGUUUCUGGACCGCUGCACUGACCAAUAACGACGUCGGCUGCACUACUUGGGAAGGAAAAGGAUGAUGAUGCUCGUUUUGUUUAUAGACCGCAAGUUCUACUGCAUUUCUACGAGUGUCACAAAUAGGAAUUGUUUUAAAAUGAGUGCCAAAAUCUGGUCACUUUUUUUAAAGACUGGACGAUUAGAAUAGUCAAAAAACGUUGCUGUGCCGUCUAGUUAGCCUAAGUGUAGUAAAUACAUCACAAACAUGUUACAUUUAGAACACUAAACAUUUCAAACAUC